rnacentral:lncRNA from 1 species
UUUCAUCUACAAUGUAGUUGACAAGCAGCUUAGUACAUGAGGUUCUUUGUCUUACUUGUUCCAUCUACAAUGUAGUUGACAAGCAGCUUAGUACAUGAGGUUCUUUGUCUUACUUGUUCCAUCUAAAAUGUAGUUGAAAAGCAGCUUAGUACAUGAGGUUCUUUGUCUUACUUGUUCCAUCUAAAAUGUAGUUGACAAGCAGCUUAGUACAUGAGGUUCUUUGUCUUACUUGUUCCAUUUAAAAUGUAGUUGACAAGCAGCUUAGUACAUGAGGU